rnacentral:pre_miRNA from 2 species
UUAAUACUCCCUCCAUCCCAAAAUAGGUGACUCAAAAAUCAUCCAACUUUGUACUAAAGUUAGUGCAAAGUUGGGUCACUUUUGAGUCACUUAUUUUGGGACGGAGGGAGUAUAUU